UCUUCAUUUCCCACACACUCUCACCGGUCGGAGAGGCGAGAGAGUGUGUGAAAUGAAGAGA
rfam:Pristionchus pacificus strain PS312 contig3653, whole genome shotgun sequence.